AAUCAACGCUGGCGGCGUGCCUAACACAUGCAAGUCGAACGCGAAAGUGGAGCAAUCCAUGAGUAGAGUGGCAAACGGGUGAGUAACACGUGGGUGACCUGCCUUCGAGUGGGGGGAUAACGUUUCGAAAGGAACGCUAAUACCGCAUAACAUGCUGUCUUUUAACAGAUGGACAUCAAAGCCGGGGACCGCAAGGCCUGGCGCUUGAAGAGGGGCCCGCGCCUGAUUAGCUAGUUGGUGGGGUAAUGGCUCACCAAGGCAACGAUCAGUAUCCGGCCUGAGAGGGCGGACGGACACACUGGGACUGAGACACGGCCCAGACUCCUACGGGAGGCAGCAGUGGGGAAUUGUUCGCAAUGGGUGCAAGCCUGACGACGCAACGCCGCGUGGAGGAUGAAGAUCUUCGGGUCGUAAACUCCUUUCGAUCGAGACGAAUGGCCCUUGGGCUAAUACCCUGAGGGAGUGACGGUACCGAGAGAAGAAGCCCCGGCUAACUCCGUGCCAGCAGCCGACGG
rnacentral:rRNA from 1 species